AAUGUGUUUGAUUGUGGCACAUGGAUUUAUGUUAAAAUAAAGAUUACAUGAUAUCUAAAUUGAGAAUUGGUGUAUAUGUCGACGUCAGUAAGGAUUAUAUAAACAACUUAUGAGAGUAUGGUUUUGUUUGUUUUAACAGGUGGGGUUAAAUGAAUGCCAGCAACUGCGGUUAGAUUCAUCCAUCAAAUGAAUUCGUACGGAUUUGUUAAUUCAUUAUCAAUUAAGCUAUGGUAUAAAGUCCAAAUAAAGGUUAAAUUUGAAAUUGGUUGUAUUUAUACUAACUAUAGCUUUGUGGUUUUUUACGUAACUACGAAGUGAAACCAGGAUUAGUGCCCUGUUAUCCGUAGUGUAAAAGAAAAUUUCCACCUAACUACUCAUUGGAUUGACAAAGGGAAAUAAAUUGGCGGUGUUUGAGUUAAAAAACAGGGGAACCGGGGUGUUAAAGGAUAGUCCACCUAUAUUUCGUCCCUUUCUUAUUGCGUGUGUAUGGUUGUUUAAUUAUCAAUAAGUUAAGUUGUUAGUUAAAAUGCUUAUAUUAAUAUAUAUAUGAUUUUAAGCUAAAAUUCAGAUUGACAUGCAGCUAUGUGAGGGUUAACCUGGGUUACAGUUAAGAUUUAAGGAAUUAACGAUGAGUGCAUGUAAACGUGUAUUAUGAGAAGGACUUGUAAGUAAAAGCUAUUAAAUCAUAGUAGCUUGAAUACUAUCAGAUGAGUACAAAUCGCCCGUCGCUCGCAAAGAUAAUUUGUGAUAAGUCGUAACAAGGUAGGGGUACCGGAAGGUGUCUCUAGAAUGAU
rnacentral:ncRNA from 1 species